rnacentral:misc_RNA from 1 species
UUGAAUGAACUUGGAGUUGGUUGUCGCUGGCUGUCUUUUCAGCAUGUGCACGCCUUCUCUUUUCAUCCACACACCCCUGUGCACUUGUGAGACUGGAGACCGUAAAAAAGUCUUCAGUCUGCUAAAUUCAUAUACAAACUCAUUUAAUUGAACUGAAUGUAAAUUGAUGUAACGCAUCUUUGAAC